AAGGCAAAAAAAGUUCAGUAAUCAAAAUUCAAAGGCUUAAAGUUCAGUAAUCAAAAUUCAAAGGCUUUUAAAUUUCAAAAUCUGAUGAGACAGAUUUACUUCCAUGAAUUCUACAAUAAGCAUAUUUCUGCUGUGAAUCACAAUAUGUAUGAGGCAUGUGUAAGUAGCCUACUGAAGCGGACCAAAGCAAAACAGAUCGUCAAAACAGUGCAGGGAAGAAGACUUUAGCCCAGGAGGUAGAUUCCAGCAAAUGCUAAACAAAGCACCUGCACACAUUUUUAUGUUUUAUUUUUCUAUGUUCAGAACAGCAGUGUUUACAAAAAUAUGAAUUUAUUUAUUUAUCUAUGUAUUUUCAAAAACGUUUUAAAAUGUCGGAAUGCAAUAAAUGAAUUUUUUGUUACAAA